rnacentral:lncRNA from 1 species
UAAUGAAGUUUAACUGAAGGUGAAGGUGUCGCCCUUUCCCUGAUACUGGUAGACAAUGGUGUUCUCCUGGAUAUACUGUGAUUUUUCACAGCGGAGUAGAACAUAAGCAUUGCUUCUGCCAGUCAUCAUAGAAGUGGACUAAGUCCUUUGGGUUGUAAAUUGCCUAGGAGGAUGUCUAAGGAAAGGUAAUAUUUAAUGGUAAGUAAGAACG